rnacentral:rRNA from 1 species
GUGGCUCGGGGGCUACACAUGCAAGCCGAGCGGUAUAGAUCUUUCGGGAUCUAGAGAGCGGCGUACGGGUGCGGAACACGUGUGCAACCUGCCUUUAUCUGGGGGAUAGCCUUUCGAAAGGGAGAUUAAUACCCCAUAAUAUAUCAGAUGGCAUCAUUUGAUAUUGAAAACUCCGGUGGAUAGAGAUGGGCACGCGCAAGAUUAGAUAGUUGGUGAGGUAACGGCUCACCAAGUCUACGAUCUUUAGGGGGCCUGAGAGGGUGAUCCCCCACACUGGUACUGAGACACGGACCAGACUCCUACGGGAGGCAGCAGUGAGGAAUAUUGGACAAUGGGUGAGAGCCUGAUCCAGCCAUCCCGCGUGAAGGACGACGGCCCUAUGGGUUGUAAACUUCUUUUGUAUAGGGAUAAACCUACCCUCGUGAGGGUAGCUGAAGGUACUAUACGAAUAAGCACCGGCUAACUCCGUGCCAGCAGCCGCGGUAAUACGGAGGGUGCAAGCGUUAUCCGGAUUUAUUGGGUUUAAAGGGUCCGUAGGCGGAUGUGUAAGUCAGUGGUGAAAUCUCACAGCUUAACUGUGAAACUGCCAUUGAUACUGCAUGUCUUGAGUGUUGUUGAAGUAGCUGGAAUAAGUAGUGUAGCGGUGAAAUGCAUAGAUAUUACUUAGAACACCAAUUGCGAAGGCAGGUUACUAAGCAACAACUGACGCUGAUGGACGAAAGCGUGGGGAGCGAACAGGAUUAGAUACCCUGGUAGUCCACGCCGUAAACGAUGCUAACUCGUUUUUGGGCUUUCGGGUUCAGAGACUAAGCGAAAGUGAUAAGUUAGCCACCUGGGGAGUACGUUCGCAAGAAUGAAACUCCAAGGAAUUGACGGGGGCCCGCACAAGCGGUGGAUUAUGUGGUUUAAUUCGAUGAUACGCGAGGAACCUUACCAAGGCUUAAAUGGGA